rnacentral:lncRNA from 1 species
UCCUGAACACCCUGUGCCAGCAGGCCAGUUGCUGUGCAUUUGGCAUGAAGUGACGGGCCUACAGGUGGGCCACCUGUCCGUACUGCUUUUCCUACUGCAAUCGGGGGCGCUAUCCGACCAACAGCUUGGUAAAGGCCUCGCCUACCCGUAUGCGAUCCUCAACACGUGAUUCAACAGGCCGGUUGCUGUUCGUGUGGCAGGAGGAGGUGACAGGCCUACAGGUGGGCCACCUGCCCCUACUGAUUUUCCUACUGCAAUCGGGGGUGCUAUCCGACCACCGGCUUGGUGAAGGCCUCGCCUGCCCUUAUGCGACACUCGACACCUGGUGCCACAAGGCCAGGACUGCAAGGUGAACACUGCGCCUGAAUACGGAUACGGGGACCAAGCCUACAUUUUGCCCCAUCCAAUUGCGUUUGCUCUUUUGGCGAGUCACAG